rnacentral:lncRNA from 1 species
UCUAGCAGAACUGAUAGUGACGAUGAAGUAAGAAUAACGUACAAUGUGUCACUGAGCCAACAAUCCAUAGGUGAAGUGUUUGGUAGUAGUCAAGGGUUGACUGAUGAGAGCAAAGAUCCCGGAGUUGAUGUGUUUGGUGGUGAAACUACUGGGCUUGCGGAGGGUAGGAUGAAAUCCUUCCAGUUGGAUAGAUGCACAAGGCUUGAAGACGGUGAUGGUUGUUGUAAUAAAGACUUGGGUGCUGACUUCCUCAAAACAUGUUCUUGUCCAUUUUGCCUGACGG